rnacentral:rRNA from 1 species
GUGCCAGCAGCCGCGGUAAUACGGAGGAUGCAAGCGUUAUCCGGAUUUAUUGGGUUUAAAGGGUGCGUAGGCGGAGUAAUAAGUCAGUGGUGAAAUCUUGCGGCUUAACCGUAAAAUUGCCAUUGAUACUGUUAUUCUUGAGUAUAGUUGAAGUGGGCGGAAUGUGUAAUGUAGCGGUGAAAUGCUUAGAUAUUACACAGAACACCAAUUGCGAAGGCAGCUCACUAAGCUGUUACUGACGCUGAGGCACGAAAGCGUGGGGAGCAAACAGGAUUAGAUACCCGAGUAGUCC